rnacentral:lncRNA from 1 species
UUUGUUAGUGUAAUACCCAAUUUUUUCCCGACCCAUAAUAAACUAAUAAAAUAAAAAAUAAAAGUCUAGUUUUUUUACAAACCCAAAUAAUAAUAAAUCCAAUAUUACAUUCAGCCUACAAAUCCAACUAGCCCAAAUACCCACUAAACCCAAUUAACUCAAGCCCAAACCUAAUCCAAAACCCAAAUUUGCCUAAGCCCAAAUAUCAGAAUCCAUACCCAAAUACGUAGCCCAAAUCAUUUUAACUUAAACUACCCAAAACUAACCCGAUUUGGCCCAACAAGCCCAAACCCAGAUAACCCUAAGCAGUUUCUAGAAACCCUAGCCUGUUGCCCCAACGCCGCAGCAGCUCCAACCCCUCACACGUGCGCCCCCUCCGUUGCGCCUCCGUGCGUGUGCUCCAGCUGGCUACAGACGCAACAAACAAGCAAGCAAAGCAAGGCAAUAACAUAAAAGAAAAAAUGAGAAUAGCAGCAGUGAUAAAAUAACAAAAAUAAUAAUUUCUGUAAUUUUUUUUUGUUUUAUUCGGCUAUAUAAAGCCGAUUGAUUCAUUUGUAAAGGGAUCUUUUUUACGCAUACAAAAAUAAAAAAUAUUCAGAGAAAUCGAAACAAAAAGAUUUGAAAGGUGAUUACUGAUCUAUUUUUCCUUUUUUUUUUCCUUUUUUUUUUGGAUUUUUUAUCUCAUUAUUCGUGUGCAAAAUAAAAGAAAAAGAGGAGUUAAAGGGUGAGAGUUUACCUGGCUUGCCAGAUUGUCACUCGCUUCGUCGCAAUCGGAGCCGGGCGAUGGUUCGAAAGCCUCCGAACAACCAUUGUCGAACGGCACUGAGGACUAUUAGGGUUCUUUAGGUUUUUUUAGAAAAGUGAUAGGAGGCUGUUAGCUUAGGUUUUAUUUUAGUUUAUAUACUAUGAAGGAAACGGCACCGUUUUAAGCAUGCUUCAGUAGCUUUAAAAACGACGCCGUUUAGAAGCUCAGACCCGUGCGGUGACCCGACCUAGGGCAGGAUCCGUGCAAUUUGGUUCAAGGGUUUAUUUGCGCC